rnacentral:sRNA from 1 species
GCCAAGUGCAGUGGUGCACACUUGUAAUCUCAGCGACUUGGGAGGCUGAGGUAGGAGGAUUGCAAGUUUGAGGCCAAUCUCAGCAACUUUAUGAGACCUUGUCUCAA